rnacentral:lncRNA from 1 species
CGCGAAACAUAAGAUAUGGCACACCAGUUGGUGUUAUCGAAACGAUAUGUCUGUCCACCAAAGUUCAAAUGAAGUAGAUGAAGUCAAAAAUAAGGCUUUCAACAAGAAGCGCCAUUUCUUUUUAAAAUAUAGAUAUGAUAUACAGGUUUUGUACCUUCUUUACUAUAUAAAUAUUUGUAUAGAAUGGACACUAAAACUGAC